rnacentral:rRNA from 1 species
AUUGAACGCUGGCGGCAGGCCUAAUACAUGCAAGUCGAACGAGUGGCGGACGGGUGAGUAAUGUCUGGGAACCUGGCCGAUGGAGGGGGCUAACUACUGGAAACCGUAGCUAAUACCGCAUACCAUCGGAUGUGCCCAGAUGGGUUUAGCUAGUGGGUGGGGUAACGGCUCACCUAGGCGACGAUCCCUAGCUGGUCUGAGAGGGUGACCGGCCACACUGGAACUGAGACACGGUCCAGACUCCUACGGGAGGCAGCAGUGGGGAAUAUUGCACAAUGGGCGCAAGCCUGAUGCAGCCAUGCCGCGUGUAUGAAGAAGGCCUUCGGGUUGUAAAGUACUUUCAGCGAGGAGGCGUUACUCGCAGAGGAAGCACCGGCUAACUCCGUGCCAGCAGCCGCGGUAAUAC